AGCAAAACUUCCAACGCCGCCAUAAUUUCUCUCUCAUAAUGGCUGCGAUCCCGGGCUGCGAUGGAAGAAUAUUUGACCAAAAGCGUUCCGGAGGACAUUAUUGCAAAAUUAAAAGGAAGUGCUCUAUUGUGAUGGAGAAGGGUUCCUCCAAACUUGUCUUAAGAACUCCAGAAUGUCACAGCAACAGGAGAAGAAAAUGAGGAAACCGAAGAAGACCAGCGAUGAAAAAGAAGAUGAAGCAGGUAUAGAUGAUGCACUAUUGGAAGACACUGAUGCAAAGAAAAUGGUUGAAUGAAUGAAGUAUGCCAGCCCAACCAAAGAAAACUUACCAACAAUAAGAAAAUACUUUCAGCGAACUUAUGAGUAUCGGCAGGCACAGGUCAAAGGGGAACUCUCUAUUACCGAGCUCAUAGACCUGUAUCCAUGAUACAAGGAUUAAUCCAACUUGAUCAAUGUUGAAUUUGCACUUAUGUUUCCUAAGGAGUCUGGGAAUUUUCUGAAAAAAUGGGGGACUACCUUCAGGGAGAUCAUCACCACUGCCAAGGAGGAUUAUGCUACAAUACAACAGGUCAUGAAAGAUGAAGCUUCUGACAGAAGGAACUGAUUUGAGGAUGACAGCUGGAAAUGGAGAAAAUGUUCAGCCAACCUUUCCUUUUGAAGAAGAGCAAGCGACACUACUUGGUGUUGGACCAAAAUGUCCUUGUGGCAGGUGAUACCUUUGUUGAUACAUUUGACAGGCUCUUCAAAGCCCAUUACUGUUUCGAUGUCCACUUUGCCCAAGUUUUGGCACCAUUUAAUGAAUAUUUAGCAGCCUACAUAUAUGGGGUGUUCACCCAUCCAAGGUGAGACCUGCAGUGCGCUCACUUGCAUCAGUUAUUAUGU